UUCUCGGCAGUAUAGGAGUUAGUAUGCAAGCUUGUAAAGCUCACUUGAUACCCGGGCUCGAUUCCCGGCCGGGAAG